rnacentral:rRNA from 1 species
GGGGAAUAACCCGGAGAAAUUCGGACUAAUACCGCAUAAAGCAGGGGUCCCGCAUGGGAAUAUUUGCUAAAGAUUUUAUCGGUUUAAGAUGGGCAUGCGGAUGAUUAGCUAGUUGGAGAGGUAACGGCUCCCCAAGGCGACGAUCAUUAGGGGUUCUGAGAGGAAGGUCCCCCACACUGGUACUGAGACACGGACCAGACUCCUACGGGAGGCAGCAGUGAGGAAUAUUGGUCAAUGGGCGAGAGCCUGAACCAGCCAUGCCGCGUGCAGGAAGACUGCCCUAUGGGUUGUAAACUGCUUUUGUACGAGGGUAAAAAAGACUACGAGUAGUCAACUGAAAGUAUCGUACGAAUAAGGAUCGGCUAACUCCGUGCCAGCAGCCGCGGUAAUACGGAGGAUUCGAGCGUUAUCCGGAUUCAUUGGGUUUAAAGGGUGCGUAGGUGGACAAGUAAGUCAGCGGUGAAAAGGAGACGCUCAACGUUUCCCGUGCCGUUGAUACUGUUUGUCUAGAAUUUCGAUGAGGUAGGCGGAAUGCGCAGUGUAGCGGUGAAAUGCAUAGAUAUUGCGCAGAAGGCCAAUUGCGAAGGCAGCUUACUAAUCGACAAUUGACACUGAGGCACGAAGGUGCGGGGAUCAAACAGGAUUAGAUACCCUGGUAGUCCGCACAGUAAACGAUGAUAACUCGCUGCCGGCGAUAUUACAGUCGGUGGCCAAGCGAAAGCGAUAAGUUAUCCACCUGGGGAGUACGACCGCAAGGUUGAAACUCAAAGGAAUUGACGG